rnacentral:lncRNA from 1 species
AAUUAGGGAUUAUCAGAGUCCCAAAUUACAUGCAGCUGCCAGAUCUCUUUGUCCAGAGGGAUCAAGGAGAUUUCUUGGUCUCCCCCUGCGCACCCCCACCCCUCCCGUGUGCUGUCAGAGCAGCUUCGAGUCCGCUCUGCGAACUUUAGCAGGGUCCUGCCCAAGCGACUCUGCUCCAAGAGCAGGAACAAGACCCCAAUCUCCGACUGCCGGUCCAGAGCUCCAGUUCGACAAUGGGGUGUGUGCACUUUGCAGCCAAUGCUGAGGAAGCCGAGGUUCAGAAGAGUUUGGUAGCUUGCCCAAGGUCACCCAGCAAGGAGGCCAGCAUCAGGACUGUAGCCUUUGGACUGUCCCCAACUGCCUGGACCCUGGCAGUUCUGCAGCCUGGCCAACAAAGCUGAAGCCUGCUGAGAAGUCGGGAUAACCCCCGGGCCAGAGGCUGUGUGCAGCCUGUGAGGGACACACAGCAUCUGGACUCCAGGUGCCCUGGGGUCACUGCUCCCAGAACAACUCCUGGGCAGGAGCCGGUCCUUGAUUGGCCUCUACAGUUGAAGCAUCCGUGGGUGUCCCUGCCGAGAGGACAAGGACACUGAGGGCAGUUGGGGCCAAAACAGCCCUUAUAAGCAGCCUCAGGCUCUCCCUGAGGGAUUGGCUCCCUUCCUGUCCCUCGGGGGUUCGAGAUCACAGACCCAGCUGAGGCCUGUGGGGAGGUAGCACAAGGCUUUCAGUUCUUAAUACUUAGACUUGGGGAAAAUUCACCUGCAAAACCACAAGCAGGAGAACAGUGCAAAUGGGGGGGUUCAGCAAAAUUUUGCU